UGGGGAAUCAUGGUCAAUGGGCGAAAGCCUGAACCUGCGACGCCGCGUGAGUGAUGAAGGUCGUAAGAUCGUAAAACUCUUUUCAGGGAUCUUAAAGCCUGUCUGUCAACAACAGGCAGGUCUGACUCUCCCUGGAAGAAGCCCCAGCCAACUACGUGCCAGCAGCUGCGGUAAUACGUAGGGGGGCGAGCGUUAUUCGGAAUUACUGGGUGUAAAGGGUAUGUAGGCGGCCCUUCAAGUCGCGUGUCAAAGUCCAGUGCUCAACGCUGGGUGUGCACGCGAUACUGACGGGCUUGAGGUCUGGAGAGGUGAGCGGAAUUCCCGGUGUAGUGGUAAAAUACGUAGAGAUCGGGAGGAACACCAGCGGCGCAGGCGGCUCACUAGACAGUUUCUGACGCGAAGAUACGAAAGCGUGGGGAGCAAACA
rnacentral:rRNA from 1 species